rnacentral:rRNA from 1 species
AUUGAACGCUGGCGGCAUGCCUUACACAUGCAAGUCGAACGGUAGAGGGGGCAACCCCUUGAGAGUGGCGAACGGGUGAGUAAUGCAUCGGAACGUGCCCAGUAGUGGGGGAUAGCCCGGCGAAAGCCGGAUUAAUACCGCAUACGACCUACGGGUGAAAGCGGGGGACCUUCGGGCCUCGCGCUAUUGGAGCGGCCGAUGUCAGAUUAGCUAGUUGGUGGGGUAAAGGCCCACCAAGGCGACGAUCUGUAGCUGGUCUGAGAGGACGACCAGCCACACUGGGACUGAGACACGGCCCAGACUCCUACGGGAGGCAGCAGUGGGGAAUUUUGGACAAUGGACGAAAGUCUGAUCCAGCCAUGCCGCGUGCGGGAAGAAGGCCUUCGGGUUGUAAACCGCUUUUGUCAGGGAAGAAAUCUUCUGGGCGAAUAACCUGGGAGGAUGACGGUACCUGAAGAAUAAGCACCGGCUAACUACGUGCCAGCCGCCGCCGUAACAC